rnacentral:piRNA from 1 species
GGAUACCAAGUCAAUUAUAUAAAUCUAUAGA